CCUACGGGUGGCAGCAGUGAGGAAUAUUGGUCAAUGGACGAGAGUCUGAACCAGCCAAGUAGCGUGAAGGAUGACUGCCCUAUGGGUUGUAAACUUCUUUUGUCAGGGACGCAGCAAGUGACGGUACCUGACGAAUAAGCCACGGCUAACUACGUGCCAGCAGCCGCGGUAAUACGUAGGUGGCAAGCGUUAUCCGGAUUUAUUGGGUGUAAAGGGCGUGUAGGCGGGGAAGCAAGUCAGAUGUGAAAUUCCGCGGCUCAACCCUGAAACUGCAGUUGAAACUGGUUUUCUUGAGUGAUGGAGAGGCAGGCGGAAUUCCGUGUGUAGCGGUGAAAUGCGUAGAUAUACGGAGGAACACCGGUGGCGAAGGCGGCCUGCUGGACAGUAACUGACGCUGAGGCGCGAAAGCGUGGGGAGCAAACAGGAUUAGAUACCCGGGUAGUC
rnacentral:rRNA from 1 species